rnacentral:rRNA from 1 species
ACUCCUACGGGAGGCAGCAGUGGGGAAUAUUGCACAAUGGGCGCAAGCCUGAUGCAGCCAUGCCGCGUGUAUGAAGAAGGCCUUCGGGUUGUAAAGUACUUUCAGCAGUGAGGAAGGUGGUAUGUUAAUAGCAUAUUCAUUGACGUUUAGCUGCAGAAGAAGCACCGGCUAACUCCGUGCCAGCAGCCGCGGUAAUACGGAGGGUGCGAGCGUUAAUCGGAAUUACUGGGCGUAAAGCGCAUGCAGGUGGUUUGUUAAGUCAGAUGUGAAAGCCCGGGGCUCAACCUCGGAAUUGCAUUUGAAACUGGCAAACUAGAGUACUGUAGAGGGGGGUAGAAUUUCAGGUGUAGCGGUGAAAUGCGUAGAGAUCUGAAGGAAUACCGGUGGCGAAGGCGGCCCCCUGGACAGAUACUGACACUCAGAUGCGAAAGCGUGGGGAGCAAACAGGAUUAGAUACCCUGGUAGCUACGAGU